GGAUGUGAAGCUUUGUACUGACAUAGGCAUUCCAGAGGAAAACAUGCAGAUAGAUGGGAACUAGAGGAGAACUGGGCCACAAACGUAGAAAAAGAGUUGGGAUUUGGGCUGUAAUCAAAGGAGGCAACUCAUGAAUAUUUGCCAAGAUAGGACAACCUAACAAGGCAGGAUAUUCUGCGUGUCCCCAAGCCUCCUGGAGAACAGGAGUAAUGUGGCCUCUGUGGAAGGAGUUAGACUUUAGCCUGAAUUUUGUAUAAAUCUAAAAGAACUAGACUAGGUGAGUAGGGAGACAACAGGGUAUGCUUCCUUCCAGAACCAUUUGGCACAUAGCAAACAGGAAUUUUUCUUGAUGUAUGAAAUGAAGGGGGAUGUGGGGGAGGGUGUAGGUCAUUUUAUGAGGUGGGGAAGAAUGAGCCUGGGAUACAUACAAGAAUGAGAGUGUUUUUAAAUGCAUAAACACACAGAUAAAUAAAUGGAACAAUCUGUUGAGACUAAGUUUUUUUUCUCCAUGGGCCAUCUGGUUCAUAUCAAUUAGCACACUCUUAUUUUAUUUGAUCUUUAACCAGGCAUUCUCUGAAAGAGCUCCUAAUGUAACCUUAAUGUGAAACUGUUCCAUAUAUACAUUCAAUAGAUACCCUGCAAGACUUCAAAAAGGGCAAAAUACAGUAUGCCUUAGUUGCAAAUAGAAUACCAAUCAAUGAUGUUGUACUAUGUGUAUAUACACAUAUAUAUAAUAUACAAAUAUAUACACACAUGAACAUAUAUGUUCACCUACACCACUCUAAUCUAACUUGUUAUUUUGUAGGUACAAUACACACCAAAGCAGGCAAAUAAAUGUAUUCUAAAUAUAUGUUAAAAACAUACUAACUGACUUAUCCCUAAAAUUUAAGAGGUUAACAUACUUUAGGUCAAAUUUCAAUGACAUUUUCUAUAGAACAGGUAAAAUGAUCUGUCUUGGUUAAUUUUUGAUACUGUUUACCUAAAGUAAUUAAAUUACACCUAACGUGUGUGUGUGUGUGUGUGUGUGUGUGUGUGUGUGUGUUUCUGUGACAGGGUCUUUCUCCACCUCCCAGCCUCAAACGAUCCUCUUGCCUCAGCCUCCUGAGUAACUGGGACCACAGGUGUGCACCACCACACACAGCUAAUUUUUGAAAUUUUUCGUAGAGAUGGGGGUCUCCCUAUGUUGCCCAGGAUGGUCUCAAACUCCUAGGCUCAAGCCAUCCUCCAGCCUCCCAAAGUGUGUAGCAAAUAUGUUUUUAAUGAAAUCCUUCAUUAACAAUUCUUCCAUAUCUUUUGGGGCUUGUCUCAGUUUUGAUUAAUUGUUUUAUACAGGACAUCUCAAACCUUCCCUUUCCCUUUGGUUAAAAAAUGAAAUUUCCCUUUGAUUAAAAAAAAAUCGGUGGCUUCAGGAGGCCUUGUAAAGACCCUAAAUAUUCUAGUAAUGGGACAAAGUUUUGCAAUAUUUUCAAACUACUUAUUCUUUUUCUAUUCUAGAAGUUAUGAUACCCUCUUCCCAUGUCUCCUCUAUUAAAAUGUAUAUGUAGUUGAAACUUCCUAAUUUAGUAGUUUAAUUUUACUUUAGUGUCUAUUCAGCAUUAUACUUGUAAAGUGUUUAACAACUGUUUCUUCAAUAAAUAGGUAAAUAUUGUGGCUAUAAUAUAAAAUAUAUUGCCUUAAGGAGAAUUAAACAUGAUUCUAUCAGUUAGAAUUUAACCUCAUUCAUUUUAAGUAUGAGUUCAGAAUGUAACACAUUAUCAUUUAUACUAAAUGUUGUUAAUUGGAUAGUUUGAUUAAUUGGGAAUACCAUUAAGUUUAGUAGUUAGAUUAUGAAACUUCAAAGAAUUAGAAUACAGUAAAGUAUAUUAACACCUCAAUUCUGUUUAAUAUAACAAAAUAUUUCCACUAUGUUUUAGAAAAAAGGCAGAAUCAUGGAGUUUUUAGGCUACUUGUUAUGGGCAUUAUUUUUUAUUAGUAUCAUACAUGCAUGAAUUAAUGAGAUUAAGCUCCAUUUUUACUGCAUGUUUAACAUAUCUAGGAAGUUUUUCUUCUUUUUAUUCUUUCUUUCAAAAGUUCAGAAGUAUUCUCACUUAUUUUUAUUUUUCUAACAUGUAAAAUAUGACCCUUGAAUAUGUGGAUUCUGAAUUUCUAGAAUUAUUAUAUUACAUUGCCCACAUUGCAUUACUAACAUUUAAUUGUAGACUCUAAGUAAAUAUUUUAAUGACUCCUUUAUACAACCAAGAAUAUCUUAGUAUGUAUUUUCUAGUUCCUUCUACUGUACCCAUCCUUAAGUUAUUUUGUAUCCUAAAUUGAUAUCAAUGAUUAUGCAUGCUAAAAUACCUUAUGAGUAGAGGUAAUAUGCAUCUGUUGUCAAAAUGUCAGUGGGUUUUAUAGCCUAACACUCAUUAUUUUGAUAAAGAAAUUUAGAAAAAAAAAGAAAUGUCAGUAGCAGAUUUGAUGCUAGAAAUUAUAGUAGCAGUAAGAGGUAAAACUAGAUAAUAACUAUAAUUUUUGUACACUUAUGUACUAGGAACUCUGUUGUAAACUUUACAUAUGAAAAUUUACUAUAUUAAAUUCUCACAAUCAUGUGAUGAGGUAGUCAUCAUUACAUAUAUUUCAUAAGUGAGGAAACUGAGGCUCACAGAUCUUAAAUAAUUUGCCAAGGUUUAUAAAACUAGUGAGACUCUAGCCUAGGCUGUUUCCAAGUCCUUGCUUGAAUCACUAUAAAAGACUCACACAUUGUAAUCAAUUAUUUUUAUAUUAUGUUAAUAAUGUAUUAUUAUCAAUAAUUGUUUAUAUUACUCCCUUUUUAAAAAUAGGGUAACGGAAGAUAAUAAAUAUUCUUUGACAAAGUUUGCAAGGAGGUUUAAAUGGCAAACCUCAAACUGUAGCUCGGGUACUAUCACUUCCAAUCCAAAGGUCUUUCUACUGCCUUCUCCUGCCUCCUUACAUGUUUAUGUGUCAUAUUGGCUUUGGGCUUAGCUUAGAUCAGUAGUUUAUUUUGCAGUGGUGCAUGUUUCACAAAUAUUUCUUAGAAAAUUUCACAUAAAUAUUUGGAUAUUUAAAUUAAUUCAUCUAAAAAUUUGAAAGCUUCUAAGAUGCCAGUGGACAGAGUGGAGCCUAGUUAUUUUUGAAAGAAAGAGCUUUUGAGCCUGCAAAUGAAUGAACCAGAAAACUGCAGCUGUGUUUAGAAAGAGGUUUUUAUAAUAGUCCAAGGCAGAAUUUAUUAGGUAUUCCCUCUUAAUGAGUUCCAUAUAAUAUUCUCUCAGUUAAUAAAUUAAAGAGCAUCUUUGUAGCUGACGAGCCUGCAGAUUCUAACUUAGACUUAUGAAAAAUGCUGGAGAUUCUUACUAAAGCAAGCAGAUAUGAUGCUGCCAUUGUAUGCCUUAGAACGUGUAGAAAUUCAUGUUCUAAGGAGCUGUAAGAUGUGAGGUUGUAGUCUUCAAAUAGAAGCAGAUAAGUAUUUACUAUUGUUAAAUGCCAUUUUCCUUCUGCCACAUUUUCAACUCUGACACCUAAAACAACAUCCCAUGGGAACAUCCAAUAAACUGAGUUGAGCUUUGCAAGGGCUAAAAUCUUUUGCUUCUUUAUCUUGUUUACCAUUUCACAAAAAGGGGUUUCUGUUAUGUGUCAUCAAUGGGAUAGGGUGAGGCAAUGCUAAUUGACUAAUAAAAUCUCUAUUCACUGAGGUAAUUGCUAAAGGACCUGUAGUUUGAUUGCAAUUCUUGCUAAACCAUGGGGGUUCUACCCUCCUUUUGGCCACAUCACUGUCAAUGAUAUUAAUUGAACUGCAAUUGCUUCAGGCUGCAAAUUGGGAUUUACUGAAAAUUGUUUCAAGUUAUAGGAUUAAGAUCAGAUGUGGGUUUUAGUUAAGAAACAAACAUUAGCUAAAGUGCAUUACCUCAACAGCUAAGGAAAACUUGCUUUGCUGCUCAUUAUUUUCUCAACAAUGUUAACUAGGAAAUAAAAAUCAAAUAACACUUUAAGGUUUUUCAUUUGCAAUGUUUCUGCAUUUUACAAUUCGUAUUUUUAUUUACUUUUAGUAAAUUUCUAGCUUCAGAAUCCUAUGAUGGAUUGUAAAAUUGCCUUUAGCCAUAUUACAGUAUUUUUAUUCUUUUUUAAAACAGGUUUUGUUCUUUUAGACAAAUGACUUUGUUUCUUCUUAUGUUUUUAAAAUAAUAUAUAUUAUAUUCUGAUUUGCAUUAUAGCGAUUUGUAUAUUUAGUGUAUCUUCCUUCUCACAUGAUUCACUCUAUAUCAUUUAAAAGCAGAAGCCAGGUUUUAUUCAUCUUUUCAGUUUUUAGCUAACACACACCUUUAAUAUAUGAAGUAGCCAAUAAAUAUUAACUAGUUUACAGUUUUCUUGUUCAGUAUUCACUUAGAUGAUUUAAAAAGAACUGCUUUGGGUAUAAUAUGUGAGAGUUGAGACAUUUGGAAUGAUAUGUUUGGAAUACAGAAAAUCCAAGGGGAACAGAAUUCAUAAACUUUCUCAUUGUUCUCGUUAAUUAAGGACAAAUUAAAAUGAUGUAAAUGCAUAUAUAAUAUAUAUCUGUAUACAUACAUAGAAAGAAUGCAAAUGUUAUCAACGUAUAAAAUAUCAAGUUUAUGCAUAUAUGGUACAUACAGAUAGUAUAACCCAUUUUGGUUAUGGCAUCCAUAUUUUCCAUUAAUAUUAAUUUCAGCAGAGUUAUUUUUAAAGAAGUUAAAUCUGUUGUCCAACUUGUCACAGCUAGUAAAUCCAGAACUGGCUUUCAAACCCAAGUUAACUCUAGAGACUGACUUUCAGCCAUUGAACUUUCAGCCUGGAUAUCAAGUCACAGCUCAGGAACCUGGUAUCAG
rnacentral:lncRNA from 10 species